GCUGGGAAGGGGAUGCUGCGGUUCUACAUUUCUGUCAAUCUCCUACACUUGGUUAGCAAGGCCUUGAACCCAGAGAUUCUCAAUAAUGCUGUACAUAAGAAUCACAUGGGAAGCUUUUAAAAACACUGCUGCCCAGGUCCCACCCCAGAACAAUUCAGUUGGAAUCUCUGUGGUGGGGCUCAGCAUCCAUAGGUUUUAAAAACUCCCCUGGUGAUUCCAGUGUGCAGCCAGAAACAGUGGGUGCUGGUUCCCUGGAGUACCCCCAGUGCCUGAGCUGAGGUGGGAGGGAAGUGAGGUGUGGGGUCAGGUCUGGUGUCUGAGCAAAUGAUCCAGUAUCACAAAGGGCAAGAGAUUUCUUAGGAAUGGACCAUUUGCUCCUUAGUGGAGGUGAAGGGAGGGAUUUCUGAAGGAAUUCUUUGGCGUGGGGCUAUCUGCUAACCCAGGUCACAUCCUCCCAGGACCAAGAACAGACCCGUGCCUUCACCUUAUCAAGCAAGUCAGAGCUCCCCACAGCUGCUCCGGGGGCUGGGCUAACAUGCCCCCAAGCAGUUCAGACAUUUUCAGAACCUUACUAGGGCAGUGGGAGGAGGUGCUGCCAGCUGCUCCCACACCCUGCCCCCUCUGCCCUGCUAGAGAAAGAGCCAGAUGAGUCCAGAGAUUACAAACCCUGGAUCAACAUGGACUAUUCAGGAUGAAGCGCCACGGUCCUGGGUUCUGACGCCCUCUGGUGGACACCUAGAGUUGAAGUUGGUAACCAACAAGCAGACUACCACGUCCAGCAUAAUGCCCUCCAAGUCCAUCCACGUUGCUGCACAUGGCAAAAUUUUGUUCUCUUUUAUGGGUCACUUCUCCAAGCUUUACUCCCAUCCACAGUCUGUUUGCCUGUGUUUACUUUUUAAGUCCUCAGGAUGUACACCACCAAGAGUGAAUCAUAAUGUCAACUAUGGACGAUAAUGAUGUGUCAAGUUAGAUUCAUUGAUUGUGACAAAGGUACUUCUUGGGGGUGGGGCUCUCAGGACGUCGAUAGUGGGGGAAACGGGUGGGAGCAGUGUGCAGACAGGGAGUAUAUGGGACCUCUCUGUACUUUCUGCUCAGUUUUCCUGGGAACCUAAAACUGAUCUAAAAAGUCUAUUAAAAAUGACAACAGUGUUCAAGCAUUUUAUUAAAUCAGAUGAGGAAUCUCCACAUUGUUGCACAUACCAGAUUGUAUACAAUUAUAAGGGCAUAUCACUUGUUUACGAAGACACAGCUGAGCAGUAAGUUGACAAGUCUAAUAAACCAUGUUUAGCCAACUAAAAUUUCAAGAACAUUCAAAAGGAAACACAAUAAAGGUCAUGCAAGUUCUAGAAUAGUGAAUCAUGACAAAGCUCACUCAUUUUAUGCUUUACCUUCAAAAUGCACAUGACAUCUAAAACCAGAAAAAAUCUGAAGACCAGUUGGUUGUCACUAGUCAGAUACACAUUUCAUUCAGGAAUAUUAAGCCCUUUACCACUUACCGACUUGUUUGAUUGUAAAUAACUUAGUCCUAACUACAGAAAAGUUUUUUGAAGAGAUUUACUGUUGUAAAAUGUAUGCCCAUUGUUCAUAAUAUGCCUUGAAGUCACUGAACUUUCAUUAAAAUACAA